CAAGCAAUGAGGUCAAAGGAAUUGUCCGUAGAGUUCCGAGACAGGAUUGUGUCAAGGCACAGAUUUGGGCACGGGUGCUAAAAUAUUUCUGCAAGGUCCCCAAGAACACAGUGGCCUCCAUCCUUCCUUCUUAAAUGUGACUUUUGGACAAGUCUGAACAUAGCAGUGCAGCAAUGCUCCCCAUCCAACCUGACAGAGCUUGAGAGGAUCAGCAGAGAAGAAUAGGAGAAACGCCCCAAAUACAGGCUUGCCAAGCUUGUAGCGUCAUACCCAAGAAGACUUGAGCCAUUUUGUCCAUAUCCUGACGUGGUAUCCAGGGGUGUGUACUACCUCGUGACGGGUUGCUCUGACAGAAGGGGAAGGGUCGGACAUACUUGGGAAGAGGUGGCUGAUUGUGAGCAUGUGCAGUCCCCUCUGGUGUGUAGCCUGACCAAAGAGUUUCUCUGCCUGAAACCCCACCUACCACAGCCAGGUGUUCGCUGUGUUGGGGAACCACAUCUCACGCCCGACCCACCAAGAUGGCUUAAAACUCAUCAACGACAAUGAGUAUCAGCAUUUCCUCAGGGUUAAAGUUCAAAUACUUUGGAGUUGUGUUCAGUAGCACUAACAGAGCUUGCACCUAUACAUUCUCCAUUUUAAAAACAUCUGGUCCCUUUGGAGAGACUUUCAAGAUGCAGUGAGUCAGGUCAGAACCUAGCAUAUUAAUUUCUUACAAACAACAGUUACAAAUUCCAAUAAAACUAGGCUACAUGGUAUUGAAGUUCACUUUCCUUGCUUUGUCUAACAACACUAUAAUGAAUCUAGCAAAUGUGUUCUGGGUCAGAGUGCAGUAUUUAUUUAGUUUCAUUGCAGAAAUGUUUGUUAGCACGUUUCUCACACUGGCUUUAUCCACAGAGGAAGCAGGCCUGCCCCAGCAAGGAGUGUUGCCUAGCAACGCGUGCCUCGGAGGGAGGAGUCUACAUUGCACAACAAAUGACCAUGAUUUAGGAAUCUGUUUCGGACCCAACAGCUAGCCUGAUAGCAAAAAAUGGCUCUAAAAAAUAUAUGCUUUCAGCUAAUAGGGAGAAGUAUCCAACAAAAUAACUACACUAUGGCGUUUACUAAUCAUAAACUAUUUACAUAUCAUAUAAAUGUCGGUACGUUUGUGGACAAAAUUCUUACUUACUCAACCUUUAAAAGUCCAAUACAGUCGUUUUUAUCUUGCUAUCAAAUCAUUUCUGAGUAACGAUUUAAGUACCUUUUAUAG
ensembl:lncRNA